UACGGAGGGUGCGAGCAUUGUUCGGAAUUACUGGGCGUAAAGCGCGCGUAGGCGGAUUCGUAAGUCAAUUGUGAAAUACCCGGGCUCAACCCGGGAACUGCAUUUGAAACUGCGAACCUUGAAUGCUUGAGAGGAUGACGAAAUUCCUGGUGUAGAAGUGAAAUUCGUAGAUAUCAGGAGGAACACCAGAGGCGAAAGCGGUUGUCUGGCAAUGCAUUGACGCUGAGGCGCGAAAGCGUGGGGAGCAAACAGG
rnacentral:rRNA from 1 species